GCUGCCCCGGCUGCGUGCACGCCAAUCAAAUCUUUCCCUAGUGGAGCCCGGGAGGGGCCCCGGCCCUCUGCGGCACGGCAGUAGGAUCCCAGAGAACGUGACUGACACCGAGGGCUUCGAAAAUCCCCAUCCUUCCUGCAAAGCCCUUGGGCAGCAGGACUAUCCCUCCAAGCACCCCUGGUUGGUGACUGAGGAUGUCAACAUAGACCAACCAAAAUCUGCAAUAGAGCUAAUGCCACUACUGCCUGAGUCUCUGUACUUCUCACACCCCCGCCCUGCUGGCUCACAUCUCACCCACGCCAGGCCAACCAAGGGCCUGUAAAAAUUUAACUUGAUGUGAUUGCACAACCGUGAAAGCCCAGGUUGCUUUUUGAGAAAACAGAAUCACUCCAGCUGGCCUUUUGGAAGGACAGGACCUGGGUCAGGAGAACAUCCACAAAUCUGGGACUUUCAUAGAGAAAAAAUUAGAAAUUAAUGCCAUUCUGAACUUUUCUCAUCUUCUGCAGCCCUGUUCCUUUGGUUACCCUCCACAACCCGGCCCUCAGCCCAGUCCAUGUUCACCUCCAUAUUACCAAAGAAGGGAGACUUUGAGAUAUAGCCUCUCAAUGAGGACACUGUUGCUUCAUCCUGAAUCCCCCUUCCUCUCCAGAAACAGAUUUCCGAAUGGAACAGGCACAGACUUUGGAGCCAGUAAGUCACAAAUUUGAAACAAAACUCCACCAUUUACUUUAGGUGAUUUACUUAACCUCUUUGAGCCUCAGAUUUCCUCAUUUACAAAACAAGGCUAAUAAUACCUACUUUGAAGGAUGAAGACCAAAUGAGGUAAUUUAUGUAAAACACUUACAGGUGUGUGAUAUUAGCAAACAUGUAUUUGGAGCCUUCUUGCCCCUUCCUUCUCUAUGAUGACCUGCCCAAGCAUAUGUGAAGCCCAAACUGUCCUUGAACACAGACUCCACUCAUGGAAGCCUCAAAGGAAUGGUUCCAAUUUACACAGCAACUGGAGACCUCAUCCAGGUGCUCUGUAGAAGACUCAAUUUCAUCUAGUCCUCCUGGGACUCACAACGCUGGUGAGAUGACAGCAGAUCUGGCCUCCCAUAGAUGAAAGUGCUAUGAGAGCAAGUAGGACAAGCAAGCUCAUUUUGGGUCUGAACAGUCAGGUCAGACCUCAGAGAUUAGGCAUCAUUUGAACUGGGCUUUAAUGGAAAAGUAACAUUUCCUAGGAUAAAAUCAGAGAUAUUUAAUACACAAGCCGCAAAUGAAUAAAGACAUUGAGGUCAUGAUGCACUCAAGAAACAAUAACUGGUUAGGUAUGGCUAGAGGAGAGGCAAAGGAAAGAGGCUGGGAGAUGAGAAGGGCAAGGUCAACUGGGUUUGUUUGGUAAGUGUUUACAUGGUGAAUGGAGCUUCUGGACUUAAGCCAAUAAAUAAUGUGGGCACAUUAAAGAGAUAUGAAAACUUC